UACGUAGGGGGCGAGCGUUAUUCGGAAUUAUUGGGCGUAAAGAGCGCGUAGGCGGCUGAACAAGUCAAAGGUGAAAUCCCUCGGCUCAACUGAGGAACUGCCUUUGAAACUGUUCGGCUUGAGGCCGGGAGGGGGUAGCGGAAUUCCCAGUGUAGCGGUGAAAUGCGUAGAUAUUGGGAGGAACACCAGUGGCGAAGGCGGCUACCUGGACCGGUUCUGACGCUGAGGCGCGAAAGCGUGGGUAGCAAACAGG
rnacentral:rRNA from 1 species